rnacentral:rRNA from 1 species
CGGGAAUGCAGUGACAGGUGGUGCAUGGCUGUCGUCAGCUCGUGUCGUGAGAUGUUGGGUUAAGUCCCGCAACGAGCGCAACCCACGUUUUUAGUUGCCAGCAUUUAGUUGGGCACUCUAGAAAGACCGCCGGUGAUAAACCGGAGGAAGGUGUGGAUGACGUCAAGUCAUCAUGCCCCUUACACCCUGGGCUACACACGUACUACAAUGCUACGGACAAAGGGCAGCAAACUCGCGAGAGCUAGCAAAUCCCAUAAACCGUGGCUCAGUUCAGAUCGUAGGCUGCAACUCGCCUACGUGAAGUAGGAAUCGCUAGUAAUCGCAGGUCAGCAUACUGCGGUGAAUACGUUCCCGGGCCUUGUACACACCGCCCGUCACACCAUGGAAGUUGGCCAUGCCCGAAGUCGUCACUCCAACCCUUGUGGAGGAGGACGCCGAAGGUGGGGCUAAUGACUGGGGUGAAGUCGUAACAAGGUAACA